GCUGCUUUGGCCCCACGAAGGAACUGGAACAUUCGAAGUGUUGUAGGGGAUAGUGGGUGUACUUCCCCUUCUGAAGGACAUCCCGCCAUUGUGUGCACUAAAAGUUUCCUUGUCUCAGUGCUGUUACUCGGUCAUGUAUCAAAGUAUGUCAUGGUUAUGUCCAGGGGCUUUCUGGUGCUCUGCUCGAUCUCUGUGGACGAUAGCUGUUCAUGAGCCCCCGAACAGAAGGAAGAGACUACACAAGGGGGGCUCACCGCAAGAGUUACAGUGAAUGAGUAAACGCUAACAACUCUGCAAGGCAUUAAAUGCAAGUCGACAGCAGAAGGGCUUCGGCGAACAUGUACAAACAGUCACAUACCUAGGAGUUUUAGUUUUUG